rnacentral:rRNA from 1 species
CACGUAGGGGCCGAGCGUUGUCCGGAUUCAUUGGGCGUAAAGAGCUCGUAGGCGGUCGUGUAAGUCGGGUGUGAAAUCUCCAGGCUCAACUUGGAGGGGCCACCCGAUACUGCUCGACUUGAGUCCGGUAGGGGAGUGGGGAAUUCCUGGUGUAGCGGUGAAAUGCGCAGAUAUCAGGAGGAACACCGGUGGCGAAGGCGCCACUCUGGGCCGGUACUGACGCUGAGGAGCGAAAGCGUGGGUAGCAAACAGG